CUUCGCGUAGCACAAUGGCAGUGCACUCGGCUGAUAUCCGAGAGAAGAUGGUUCGAUUCCAUCCGCGAGGA
rnacentral:tRNA from 1 species